GACGAACGCUGGCGGCGUGCUUAACACAUGCAAGUCGAACGGUGAAGCGAGUGCUUGCACUCGUGGAUCAGUGGCGAACGGGUGAGUAACACGUGAGUAACCUGCCAUCACUCUGGGAUAAGCACUGGAAACGGUGUCUAAUACUGGAUACGACCAACCCUUGCAUGGGGUGUUGGUGGAAAGAUUUAUCGGUGAUGGAUGGACUCGCGGCCUAUCAGCUUGUUGGCGGGGUAAUGGCCCACCAAGGCGACGACGGGUAGCCGGCCUGAGAGGGUGACCGGCCACACUGGGACUGAGACACGGCCCAGACUCCUACGGGAGGCAGCAGUGGGGAAUAUUGCACAAUGGGCGAAAGCCUGAUGCAGCGACGCCGCGUGAGGGAUGACGGCCUUCGGGUUGUAAACCUCUUUCAGCAGGGAAGAAGCGAAAGUGACGGUACCUGCAGAAGAAGCACCGGCUAACUACGUG
rnacentral:rRNA from 1 species